rnacentral:lncRNA from 1 species
UAAUCCUGGAUGUAAUGUGACAGUCACCAUGAGUGAGAACAAAAUGCCAGGUGAACGCAGCCACUGUAUCAUCUAAGACUGCCUUCCUUUGAUUCACCGAUCACCUUGCUGUCAUGUGUAUGGGAACUUUUCAUCAGGUCAAAGGAUUUGGGCUUCAAAUUCUCCAUGCAGAGUGACUUGCUUUUGUUGACCUGGCUCCUCUGUCUGAAAGCCUGGAACACUUCUCAGCCAUAUGAAGGACUAGCAUUCAGCUGAGACAUUCUCACUGGCUUCUUCAGAAGAACAUUUUGUCGACUGUGAGAUUAAUUGAAACGAGACUCCUACAACAUCAAUUUUUCUAGACUCUUUCUUCUGAUAGAGUAAUAUUGUGAUAUCGCCUGUCUAAAACAAAACCAAACUAAAAUAAACUCAGUGUCUCAAAUAUAAGCAUCUCAGUGCUUCAGGAUCUUAUAAUUGAUUGAACUAUUAAAAAAGAAAAAUAGUGUAGGGUAGUGAAUAGCACAAAAGCUAGGAUAGUGCCAACCCCACAUAGGACAGCAAGAACAUCAAGGAGAUUAGAAGAUACUUAGAAAGCUUUAAAGACCAGUAACAUUGUUACUUAGCUUAUAUGGAACACAUACAAUAGUUUUAUAAUAUUUAUUAUUUAAUUGAUCAUAUAUAUUUUCUGCACAUUAUAACAUCUUCAUCUAAGCACACAUCCUGUGACAAGUGUUAUGUUUUAGUAACAGAGAUAAAAU